UGGGCCCCCACCAUCUGCACUCGAAGUGCCAGAGUGGGGAAUCAGCUUUGACAAUGAUGAUUAGGGGGGUUGAGAAAAUAAAAAGAGGAGACAUGGUAGGAUUUUUGUGUUUAUGUGAAAGUGCAUGAAUUCCUUUGAUUUUGAUCUUUGUGUUUUCCAAGAUGUACAGGAGUUUAGCUGUGUAUUGCUUUCCUUAGUGUAGGGAACCGCGGAAGACUGUGUUACAGCCUAGCUAGGGUAUUUCCGCUUUCUCGGCAGCCGGUUACUGUAGGGCACAGCAUGCCAGUUAUAACUUGCUGUUAACUGGUUAGAACCAGUUUGCAUGGCCAUUAGCCAAAGGGCGGACUCAGCCUGUGGAAAGCCCCUAUUUUCUUAUGUAUGAGCUGUGUUUGUGUUUUGUAUAUAUAGCUGCAUGAUUACGAUCCUGCCCUUGGACGCCAUACCAGGCCGAGCUUUGGUGUGCUGGGUUCCCCGCCUCCGUGACAGCAACGCCAGGAGUCCCCGUUGCAGGACACACAGGUUUGCCUAAUGGAUUGAUGGGGCCAGAGGAGAAAACAGUCUUUAUACCUGAACUCCAGACUAACAGAAGUUGGAUAAAGAGCAGCUAAGCAGAGCCACUGAGAUCCAGGAAGAGGCCCAAAGAUAGACCUGAUAUUCAUGAGCAUGGGAGAAGGUAAGUGCUCUUGAGUUACAUGGGCAUAUCCACAGUUUCUUGUUAUCUGUGAGCAGCUCUCGCUUUCUGAACAUUUGGCACAAUCUCUGAAAAUCAGGCAACUGCUCACUUUUUUCUGCAUUCAUUUUUUUCUUUUUUAAAGGGGGCUGUCAAGUUUAUGAGGCCAAAAAAUUGACUCCUCAUUUCUAGCACAGCACAUGGUACAUGUUGCUUUUUGUUUACUGUUAGCCUAGCAAUAAGUCAAGUCUUUUAAAAAUAUAUAGGCUUCAUGCUUUCCUCCUGGGGGGAAAAUCCAGUAUCUAUGGUGAGAUGCUGUGGUGACUGGCAUGCUAUAAACAGAGUGAAAGAGAGAGAGGGAUAAAGUAUAUACAUAGAAAGGUCACCUUGCAGUGUCCUUAGUAUGUUCCCUCUCAACUGAGAGAGGUUUUAGUAUUCCCACAGGGUAUGAGAUCUGGAAAUGCAGUAGAAGCCAAGCAACAUUGGCAUAGAUCCUGUCAUAUAGGUAACCAACUCCUAAGUCGGUGGUUCUCAACCGAUUUACCAUUGUGGGUCUCAUCCAAUACUACCUGUAUUGCCCUGAGGAUGUCACAUGGGAUGCAGCUCUGUGUUGAUUGGGCCGCAAGUGGCCCACAGGCCAUAGGUUGAGAACCACUGCCCUAAGUGAUGAUCUCUGAGCCCCCUCCUCCCUUCGGACAGCAUUUCUGAAGCACAUGCCUUGCUAUUGGCUCUCUCAUGGUGCUAAAAGAGGGGAGUGUGGGGCUGAGGGAAUUGCAGAGGGAAGUUAAUGGUAAUUCAAAUUAUAUUAAUUGCCAUGAGGAUUUCACUUGGAAGUCUUUCAGUAGCUGAAGGGAACCUGAUGUGUUGAGUGGCCAUUCUCCAGUCCUUCUCUUCUCCCAGCACAACCUGUCUAGGUCAAACCAUGCAGAUUUCAUGUUGAUGGGUUUCCAAGGGCAGGGGAUGAUGCUAUGGAGCUGCUGCUCUACUUCUCUGUGCUCUCCACUCUGUUCCUGCAGAAGUUUCUCCCCUCAAGCAAUGUGAAAGGGACAUCUAUCUAUCUUUAGCAUCUUGGUUUCUGAAAGCAAAUACCAGAGUAGAUUUCCUGAGGUAAGGAUGUCAUUACACAGAGAACCACUGACAAGGGACAUCAAUUCUUCUGGCCAAACAACCUUGAUAAUGCCACUUUAAAAUUAUUUCCAUACUACAAGGGUUGUGUCAGUCCAUAGCAGAACCUGACCUUAAUCGGAGUUGUAUUGGUAGAUCAAGGGAAAUGCCUAAUCUAAAGCAUGUUUUACUUUAGCCACUUCAUUCAGUAUUAAAAUAAUCUGCAGCCUUAAUAUAGUUUGUUAAAAUAUGCAGCUGCCUCAAUUUAUACCAUAAUGGGACAAGCUCAUCCCUGGAGUAACUUCAGUUAAGCUACACCAUGAAUGAAUUUGGACCAAUGCAUUCAACAUAGGAGGCUGCAAAGGAGAGAAGGAACAGGUGACAUAGGUACAGCUGGUUGUUAGAAGUUAUGUGUAAACAGUCUCUGAAGAAAAGCCAGUUGUUGCUGAGAGCAGAUGAGGUGAGUCUCAGUUUAAUGUUUGGUCAGCUAUGUGCUGGAAGCUUUGUUUAUCAGACAGCUAUAAAGUUUACACUGAUGCCCCUUUGAAGAUCAUUUACAAAAAUAGAAAAAAAAUUAAACUUUCAGAGGUGAGUCAAAAACUCUAGAAUUCAGAGAACCAGCAAAAUCACUGAUAUAUCAGUGCUGAACCUGAAAUUAAGCCCUGGUCUACACCUGGGGGGCGGGAAGAAUUGAUCUAAGUAACACAACUUCAGCUAUGUGAAUAAUGUAGCUGAAGUCGACGUACUUAGAUCUGCUCA